GGAGGGAUAGCUCAACUGGGAGAGCGCCUGAUUGAAGAUCAGGUCUCGUGAGGGUUCGAGUCCCUCUCCCUCCA
rnacentral:tRNA from 2 species